rnacentral:antisense_RNA from 1 species
UUCCAUGGGCGGGCCGUAGCGGGAAGGCCCCCGGGCCUGCCGGUUGCACUCAACGCCGGUCCGCCAACCCCGUUACCGUGCCCGCUCACCCGA